GAUGAAGAACGCAGCGAAAUGCGAUAAGUAAUGUGAAUUGCAGAAUUCAGUGAAUCAUCGAAUCUUUGAACGCACAUUGCGCCCGCCAGUAUUCUGGCGGGCAUGCCUGUCCGAGCGUCAUUUCAACCCUCGAACCCCUCCGGGGGGUCGGCGUUGGGGACCUCGGGAGCCCCUAAGACGGGAUCCCGGCCCCGAAAUACAGUGGCGGUCUCGCCGCAGCCUCUCCUGCGCAGUAGUUUGCACAACUCGCACCGGGAGCGCGGCGCGUCCACGUCCGUAACACACCCAACUUCUGAAAUGUUGACCUCGGAUCAGGUAGGAAUACCCGCUGAACUUAAGCAUAUCAAUAAGCGGAGGA
rnacentral:misc_RNA from 1 species